rnacentral:rRNA from 1 species
CGCCAGACUCCUACGGGAGGCAGCGGUGGGGAAUAUUGCACAAUGGGGGAAACCCUGAUGCAGCGACGCCGCGUGAGUGAAGAAGUAUUUCGGUAUGUAAAGCUCUAUCAGCAGGGAAGAAAAAAGACGGUACCUGACUAAGAAGCCCCGGCUAACUACGUGCCAGCAGCCGCGGUAAUACGUAGGGGGCAAGCGUUAUCCGGAUUUACUGGGUGUAAAGGGAGCGUAGACGGCAUGGCAAGUCAGAUGUGAAAGCCCGGGGCUCAACCCCGGGACUGCAUUUGAAACUGUCAGGCUGGAGUGCAGGAGAGGUAAGUGGAAUUCCUAGUGUAGCGGUGAAAUGCGUAGAUAUUAGGAGGAACACCAGUGGCGAAGGCGGCUUACUGGACUGUAACUGACGUUGAGGCUCGAAAGCGUGGGGAGCAAACAGGAUUAGAUACCCCCGUAUG